rnacentral:rRNA from 1 species
GACGAACGCUGGCGGCGUGCUUAACACAUGCAAGUCGGACGGAAAGGCCCUGCUUGCAGGGUGCUCGAGUGGCGAACGGGUGAGUAACACGUGGGUGAUCUGCCCCUUACUUUGGGAUAAGCCUGGGAAACUGGGUCUAGUACUGGAUAGGACCAUGCUGUAGGUGGUGUGGUGGAAAGAUUAGUUUCGGUAAGGGAUGAGCUCGCGGCCUAUCAGCUUGUUGGUGGGGUAAUGGCCUACCAAGGCGUCGACGGGUAGCCGGCCUGAGAGGGUGGACGGCCACAUUGGGACUGAGAUACGGCCCAGACUCCUACGGGAGGCAGCAGUGGGGAAUAUUGCACAAUGGGCGCAAGCCUGAUGCAGCGACGCCGCGGGGGGGAUGACGGCCUUCGGGUUGUAAACUCCUUUCAGCCAUGACGAAGCCCUUGUGGUGACGGUAGUGGUAGAAGAAGCACCGGCUAACUACGUG